UGCUAAAAUAAAUUUUUGUUUUCCAGGUAGUAUUAUGUAACAUCUUGCUGUAUGUAUUCCCUGUGAUGUUAUUUAUCCUUCAUGGGGCCUGGGCUAAGAUUAUAAUUUUGUUUUACUUUCUAGUAUUGGCUUAUGAUAUGAUAGUGUCACUGGUCAUGAAACUCAUCCAGUAUGGGUGUUCGGUAUUGCAGUCACUCUGAACUUUGGGAGUCAUCUGUUGGAAACUAUUAAUAAUUACACCUUUUGUGUUCUCUUCUUGGAGAACCAACCUAUGGGGGAACGAUAUCUUCCUACAUUUUCCUUCCUUCCUUCCUUCCUUCUUUCCUUCCUCCCUUCCUUCCUCCCUCCCUCCCUUUUUCCCUCCAGGGGGAUUACAGUAGUUUUAGAGAAUAUUGAAGAUUUUUAAUAUCCUUUUUAAUACCCUUGAAAACACACUGGUCAUUUUGCUAGAACUCGGUAUGUUGCUGAAUAUAGAUCAGGUCUUUUUUACAACAUUGAACUUUGUUUCACCUUACACUAUGGCUUCAAAAAGUCCACCAAACCAUAAGAAAAGAUCAUGAUGGUACCAUCACAGUACUUUCUAUUCUUAAAGUUCCCAGUCUCUGUUCUAGCACCUUUUAACUUUCUUUGUUUUAUUUGCUAUGCUAUCUCUGUAAUCAUCUCUGUCACAAACCUACUGAAAGAAUUGAAAAUUCAGUACCAACAUUUAAAACAAGUCAUCAGAACUGAUGUUCACUGCAUCUGUGUUCUUUUCUCUCCCUUAGCUCUUUUUCCCCAUGCUUUGCCUGUGCUCUUGAUUUAAAUGAUAAACCCUUGGGUCAGUUAAUGGUCGAUACCAUUUAUGCAGUAUGAUACAACAUGAAACUCCUGUUAUGCUGUCCUCUUUUCCAUUAGCACUGCUAAAAAAAAUAUGAUAAAUAAUAGAGGGAGAGAGGAAUAGCUCCCCACAGAUUAUACAGAACAAGCCAAGGAGCAGUUCUCCACAUCUCUCGUUUCUUUCUUCAAUGAGACCGGGGCAUAGUCAUGACAUUGAAAAGCAAGACUGGUAAAAUGCUAAUACUGCACUUAAUGGUGUAAUUCUCAAACCUGAAUGGGAUUUCAGGCCAUCAGAGAGUCUAAGCUCCCAAAGUACACAGAAAUGGCAGAGUGCUGUCACCAGUAAUAUCAUAAAGCCUUAUAUGUAGAAAUUGGAUUCUGCUUCAAUCAAACAUACCUGAACAAAGAGAGUGCAAAACAUAGCCACUUCAUUUAUUGAUUUUGUUUUCACAAUGGGGGAAAUGCAAUAGAAUGUGUAGGUUUGUUGUGGCUUUGCUUUUUUAAUUUUACUAGCCUCUGUUAAGAAGCACACUAUUAGGAAUUUUUUCUGUGGGGUUAUGCUUUUAAAAGUAUCCUCCAGACUUGCUUUGCUGUCUCUCCAGUGUUAUUACCUCAAUUCACUUUCAAAAAUUGGACUGCAGUAAUGGUAAAAAUUAUCAAGUAGAGAACAUAAUUGAAGUUAAAUAUUAAAACUGUCUACUUAAAUAGGGUUCGGGGGGGGUUAGAUAUAGUGGCAUGUUCUUCUUCUGCAGAUUCUUUAUUUAAAUGCCAGUUUUGAUGAAUGUCUGUGACUUCAAAAGUCACAGCUAAUAUUAUUGCACUAAAACCACUGCCUUAGCAGAGUAGAAACAAAAUAAGCUUUUUUUUUUUUUACUUUAGUAAAACAGUAUGCUGUAACAACACAGUUUAAACUGAUAUGUCUCAAGGUACUCUGAAGUAAUAGAAGUUGUUGAUCAUUUCUUUCAUUCUUUCAACCAUUUUAUAGGACUUCAUGGAAUUACAGAAUGGAUGAGGAUGGCAGGGUUCUCUGGACACAGUCUAGUUCAGUGUCCCUGCUCAAAGCAGAAUAAGCUAAAGUAGAUUGUGAAGGACUUUUUACAGUUAGAUUUUGAAUAUCUGCAAGGAUGACAACUCCACAGUCUCCUGGGCAACCUACUCCAGUGUUCAAACAACCUCACAGUAAAAAUUGUUUUCUUGUGUUCAGACAGAAUUUCAUUUAUUUCAGUUUGUGAUUGUGUCUUGUCUUGCCAUUUGGCACUACUGCAGAGAGUUUAACUUCUCCUUCUUCAUUCCCUUCUGAUAUGUGUUUAUACACAUUGAUAAGAUCCCACUGAACUUUUUUUCUCCAAGAUAAACAGUCCCAGUCACUGUUAGUCAUUCCUCACAUGAGAGAUGCUCCAGUCCAUCACCUUUUUGUCACUGUGCUGAAGUUGCUCUAGUAUGUCCGUGUCACUUGUACUGGAGAAAGCAGAGCUGUGCACACCCCUCCAGGUCUGUCUUACCAGGUAUGAGCAGAGAGGAGGGACCAGCCUCUAUCUGCAAGCAACACCCCUCCUGAUUCAGACCCUCUUCUUUGCUCCAAUGUCAACGCACUGGAAUAUGGUCAGUUUGUCUCACAGGAACUCCAGGUUCUUCUCUGCAGACCUGGUUGCUAACCAGCUAAUCCCCACCAUGCACUGACUGUUGAAGUGUCAUUCCUCCCCAGUUUGCAUUUCCCUUUGUUGAACUUCAUGAAGUUUCUGUUGACCACUGCUGCAGCCUUUUGACACUCCUCUAAAUGGCAAUACGUCCAUCUGAUGUAUUAACCCCUCCUUCCUGUUUUGUGUCAUCUUCAAAUUACUGAAGGUGAGCUCUUUCCUGUUUUCCAGGUCUUCAAAAAUGAGUUAAAGGGUAUUGGCCUCAGUAUACACCCCUGAGGUGAACCAAUAGUGAUAUCUUAUGGACCUUGGGCUACUGACCAAAAUACUUUCAGCAGUUUAAACAAUUUUCAGUACACUGUAGUAUGUGCUUAUCUAACCCAUUUUUCAUCUGUUUGUACAUGGGGAUAUUAUGGGAAACAAUUAAAAUUUUAAUAAAGUUGUAGUAAACAACACCCACUGCUCUCUCUUCAUCUGCCAAGGUCAUCAUCCCAUCAUAUAAAAAGUGCAAGUUUUGCUGAAUUUCUGUGACUUCAAAAGCUAAUAUUAUUUAAUAUCAUAUCCCCUCCAUAAAUCUAUGAUGACUACUCACAAUGAACUUCUUAUCAUUUAUGGAUUUGGAAAAGAUUUCCAGGAUUCUUUAUUUCAUUUGCUUAUAGUUCCCUACAUACUCCUUCUUACAAGUCUUGAAGAUAGGUGUGAUCUUUACAUUCUCCUACUCUUUAGGGACCUUUCCUGUGAGCAUCCUGUAAGGCCUCUUGCACUGGUAUUGUCCUCCACCAAGGGUAACUCUUCAUUCUCUUCAUUGCUCCAGACAUUUCCUCUGAUCUCAUGGGUUCUAGAUUCCUGAAGACUCCUCUUGCCAGUAAAAAAUGAGGGUGAAGAAGGUGUCAAGUCAGACUUUACUGUGUUCUUUGUCGUGAGAGCCCCUUACCCAUUUGAACAUAGGGCCACACUUUCCCUAGUUUUCUAUUUACUAUUAAUCUACUCGUUGAAGCUCACCUUGUUGCCUUUCAAAUCCCUUUACAGAUAUAACUUCAGAUGGGCUUUUGCUGUCCUAACCCUAUUCCUGCACCCUCUGAGAGUGUACCUGCUUUCACUUUCUGCACGCUGCUUUCUUAUAUUUGCUUUUAGUAAGGAGUUAAUCUAUCAAGACUUCUCACCCACCUGUAUUUAACUUCUGCAUGUGGUGAUGGACCACUGCUGUGCUGGGGGAAGAUUGAAAAUCAAUCAACUUUUGCCCCCAAAAGCAAUCAAAAAAGAGUGAACACAGGCGGAUCUGCUCAAGAAUUCUUCAGAAAAUGACAAGAAAACUAAUUCCUAAAUAAUAAAUGAUUUUAUUUUUACUGUUCACAGUAAUCUAGAUUUAAUUUAUGAGCCUUGUAUACAGUCUACUCCAUAUUCUUUGUCACUUUCUGAAGGUGUGUGUAAAUUGUUUUUAAAGAACUGGCCUAUGUUUCACCUUCAACUCCGGCUUUUACUCAGGUAGGAUGAAAGGAGGCUUUGGAACUUUCUGAAGAAGGAAUCUUCCUCUGUGUUGUCCCAAACUAGCAGGUGAUCUUCAUUUGUUAGCACAGAUAUGUGGAUUUGGGUUAGCAUGUUUUCAGGAAUUCUGCCUUUUCCUCCAUCACUGGUAUUUAGAGGCAAGUACCCACUGGCUUAGAUACUGUUCCUGACUACUUUUCUACUCCAGAUUCUCCUAGUUUUAAGGAGUUUUCUCUUUCUUCAGAGAAGUGAUUGGUCAAGACCAGUUCUUGUCUUAAUAGUCAUUUCAACCCUGUUUCCCUUAUUCUGACUCAGAAAUGCCACUUCUCUGUGUUAUUAACAAAUUCUAGUUUCUGGAGAUCUUGACCUUUAUCCAGCUGAUUUAUGCCUUGAUCAUAUAACCUUCUGUCUUUCUCAUGUUAAAGAUCAAAGCUGUUUCAAUUUGAUCAUACAAUCCUGAUGCAUUGAAAUCUGAAAUCUUAGUUAAUCUUCCUCUUUACACUGUAAGAUACAAAAAUACCACACAAUUUUACAUAAUUAUCCUGAGUAUUUAAUUUUGGUCAUACAUAACCUAGCUGAUUCUGAGAAUUUUAUGGCAACAAUUGAAUAAAACUUUUCCAUUGUCUUUCUAGGAGAUAUUUAUAAAGCCUUUAAUUUUUGUCUAGACUCCUCUAUGUGUCUAAGAUAUUACUUUUCUGGGGAAAACUUCCUUGCUGCUAUGGAAAUAACAAACAAAGAAAAGCACCCUUUCCCAUGUAUUUUGAGUUCUGUAGUAGAUAUAUUCUAGACAUAUUAGUGUCUUCUUUCCUCUAUCUUGCUAAAAUUUAUUUCUGUGUUUGGUCGUGGAGACCCAUGCACCAGCCAGUGACUGAUCUGUCUGCACUGGAUUGGAUGAAAAAAUUCCAUCAGUAUCUCAAAACAAUCUAUUCAGUUGACUUUCAAAGUAUAUUCCACUAAUCUUUCACAUUUCCUGCAUUCAUCUGACCUGGUGUAUAAUGAGAGAUGGUAUUGUAAUUCCUGAUCUUAGUCAGGUACAUUCAUAAAAUCCUGGAUAUCCUUGAUCUUCCAUUUGAAGUCAUUGAUGAUAAUUUUGCAUGAUUGGAAACUGUUUUUAAUGGUUAUGCAUCAUGCUUCAGAUGCACUGAACUAUCACUUCAGAACUGGGCUAAGUACAAUGUUGUUGCCUUUUCAGAAAUACCUUCUCUUUGUGCAACUUUUAGAAAAACUGCUAAUGAUGGAUGAAGACUGGACAACAGAUAAUCCACUUGUCUAACAAAUUCUGAGAUGUCAUACUGUAUGCUAAUUACUGAAACACCUUGCAAAAUUAGACAAGAACUUUACUGGCAUUUUAUUUCAGCUGUUUCUCAGUGUGUAUUCUUUUUUUCUUACAUACAUAGGUAUUACACUAUCUCUCACCUCUGUACACAUAUUUUCCUGCUCCAUAUUAAAACUCAUAUGCAGUACUUGUGAAAAGGGGACAAUCAGAAUUUUGGGGAUAUUUAAGAGUAGUGCUCUGUCACUCUAUAAAUUUCAACAGGGACUGAAAUAACAAGUUAAUAUUAUCAAGGAAAACCCUGUUCAGUGUAUCUUCUGCAUGGACUGACCAUUAUCUGGUUGCAACCAGGUUGCCACCUGGUACUCUCCAUGAUAUCUUAAAAAAUUCUGAAUUUCCCUGUCUUCAUUAUAAACAUCUUGUAAUAUACCACCUGAAUUCUUUGUUUGUUUAUAUACCUUUUCUCAUUAAAGAGAAGACCAUGCUACUGGUGUGAGUUUGCAUUGCAUCUGGUUACAUGUUACAUUUUUCUAUUAAAGAAAGAUACUGUAAAAAAUGGUACUCAGCAAAGUUCUUAUGGAAUGCUACUAUAAUGUUAGUGAAAUCUUUCCAUGACCUUUUUCAGAUAAGAUUCUCUUUGGUUCAGAAGAAGAUAUUCAUUUUGGAAUUUGUAUAAAAAAGGACUUACAGGUCUAUGUAUGAAAAGAUGCAAUUUUUAAAAAAGAUAAAUACUAUUUUUUAAUCCUGACAGUUUUAUUGGAUCAAUAAGUACAACAGAACUGCAUAUUCAGCAAAAACAUGUUGCCUGGAUCAUGAACUUCUUGGUCUUUGUCUUGUUUACCAGGUGAUAUUUAUGGCUUUAUACUCAUUUAUAAUGUAGUCACUGAUUAAGUGUUCAUGUUUUGUUAUCCUAAGACGUGGUUGAGUAUAUUUCAAUAAAAAUGUAAGAAUAUCUGUGUUUUCCAGGUUCAUUUCAAGCAUUCUGAGUGUGGUACCGUGAGAGAUGCUGUUGUCUAUGAGAGGCUGGGAUUAUCAUCAUCAAGUGCUGUAUUUUGAUUUCAUCCAGUGGCUGAGAGAUUUGUGGGGUAAAGAGAAAGUACUGGACUUUUAAAAGUAUUAAACAGGCCCGUGACGGAGGGUUAGCCCAGAUCAGUGGAGUCAUGCGUCACACAGCUCUAUCAUGCUGGCAGCCGUUCCUGGGUCUGGCUGUGCUGCUAAUCUUCACAGGCCCCACCAUGGGCUGCCCGGCCCGCUGUGAGUGCUCGGCACAGAACAAGUCUGUCAGCUGUCACCGAAGGCGUCUGAUGUCCAUCCCAGAGGGCAUUCCCAUUGAGACCAAAAUCUUGGACCUCAGCAAGAACCGACUGAAGAGCGUAAACCCUGAGGAAUUCACAUCGUACCCUUUGCUGGAGGAGAUUGACCUCAGUGACAAUAUUGUCUCCAAUGUGGAGCCUGGAGCCUUUAACAAUCUCUUCAACUUGCGCUCCCUCCGGCUGAAAGGAAACCGUCUGAAGCUGGUCCCCCUUGGGGUGUUCACUGGGUUAUCAAACUUAACAAAGCUUGAUAUAAGUGAAAACAAGAUUGUCAUUUUGCUGGACUACAUGUUCCAAGAUCUGCAUAACCUUAAAUCCUUGGAGGUUGGGGACAAUGAUUUGGUGUAUAUAUCACACAGGGCCUUCAGUGGGCUGCUCAGCUUGGAGCAGCUCACCCUGGAGAGAUGCAACCUCACAGCCGUACCAACAGAAGCUCUUUCUCAUCUCCACAACCUCAUCAGUCUGCAUUUGAAACAGCUCAACAUUAACGCUUUGCCGGCGUAUGCCUUUAAAAGACUGUUUCGUCUGAAAGACCUACAGAUAGAGACCUGGCCCCUCCUGGACAUGCUACCUGCCAACAGUUUGUACGGUCUCAAUCUUACUUCUCUCUCCAUCACCAACACCAACCUGUCUGCUGUACCUUACUCUGCUUUUAAGCACCUGGUUUACCUGACACAUCUCAACCUCUCUUACAACCCCAUCAGCACUAUCGAAGCAGGCAUGCUGUCAGAUUUAGUGCGCCUGCAGGAGCUCCACAUGGUGGGGGCCCAGCUGCGCACCAUUGAACCACACGCUUUCCAAGGGCUCCGAUUCUUACGUGUGCUUAACGUGUCCCAAAACCUGCUAGAAACCCUAGAAGAGAAUGUAUUCCAUUCCUCCAAAAGCCUUGAAGUCCUCUGUAUUAACAACAACCCUCUGGCCUGUGACUGCCGUCUCCUUUGGAUUUUGCAGCGGCAGCCCACCUUGCAGUUCGGGGGUGAGCCACCAAUGUGCGCUGGCCCAGACAGUGUAAGAGAGAGGUCAUUCAGAGACUUUCACAGCACAGCUCUUUCCUUUUACUUCACCUGCAAGAAACCCAAGAUACAAGACAAGAAGUUGCAGUACCUAGUGGUGGAGGAAGGCCAGACAGUGCAGUUGAUGUGCAAUGCUGAUGGGGACCCUCAGCCUACCAUCUCCUGGGUUACCCCACGCCGGAGGCUGAUCACAACUAAAUCAAAUGGUAGAGCCACAGUGCUGGGGGACGGCACUCUGGAGAUCCGAUUUGCUCAAGACCAGGACACUGGGAUCUACGUCUGUAUUGCAAGUAACGCAGCUGGGAAUGACACCUAUUCGGCCUCCCUUAUGGUAAAGGGGUUUACUUCAGAUCGUUUCCUUUAUGCCAACAGGACCCCUAUGUAUAUGACAGACUCCAACGACACAAGUUCCAAUGGAACUAAUGCGAACAGCUACUCUCUGGACCUUAAGACAAUAUUGGUGUCCACAGCUAUGGGCUGUUUCACAUUCCUUGGAGUGGUUUUAUUCUGUUUCCUUCUUCUUUUUGUUUGGAGCCGAGGGAAGGGCAAACACAAAACCAGCAUUGACCUUGAAUAUGUCCCUCGCAAAAACAAUGGUGCUGUGGUUGAAGGGGAGGUUUCUGGACCACGACGGUUCAAUAUGAAAAUGAUUUGAUAGUAUUCUGCUAGCAGUGCUUUUUCUGUGGCAUUAAAAUCUAUUAAAACAGCCUGGCAUGUGGAAUCACUGGGCAAAAGCAGCUUAAUGCAGCUGUCAGUGUAUCAAAAGGUUGUAGGAAAAUGGAAAGACUAUUUGUGGUUAUACAACAGAGCCUCCAGACCUUGAGGCAGAUGUGUCAGGGCCUUUCAUAGAACUGGGAAAUUGUACUAACUGUUUGCAUUGCAAAUAUUGGCAUUCUGGGGAUAUCAGCAAUGAACCACUGGCUCAUGCUCAUGGACAAUUGUUCAACAUUUUCUACUGCUACAAAAGAAAAAAGAAAAAAAACAAACAAAAACCUACAGUGUAGGAUUUACAUACUUAAAGAAAAAGACACAUUUGUCUAAAACAUGCUCUACAGUGACAUUUGUAUCUAUAUAUCUCAUUUGGUAAAACUUUGCAUCCUCCCUUCUAGUUGGUUCAACACCACAAAAAAAUUAGUAGUUUUUUUUCUUUUCAAUUUACAUCUAUACUGUGUACAUUUUAAAGCAAUACAAAUGAGAGGUUGUGCUUUUAGAUAUCCACCAAUACUGACCCAAGUGUGAUGUCACCCUUCUUUUAACUACCAUCAAACUUAAAUUAGAUUCUUGUAGUUACUAAUUAGAAAUUACAUAAGGUAUUUUUCUCCUCAUGUAGAAGGCCAGAGUUGAAUAAUUGAGAGUAAAAACAAUCAACUCUGUCGAUCUUCUCUUCGUAUAAAUAUAAGGCAUGUGCCUAGUUUUGAUACAGAAUGGAAUAUUUUUUAUAUCUGUGAUAUCACACUGGACCAGUUUACUGUAACAUAGCCCUGGCUCUCACCCAGGGAAGGCAACCCACUAGUCAAUGCUGGCAUAGAGGAGUUGAGUUCUACCUUGAAGAGAGAGAAUCGGUUUUGUUAGCCCUGAUUUUAAUUUCAAAGCUACUGUUAAAAUGUUAAUGUGUACCGGGCAAAAUAAAGAGCAUAAUACAUUCUGCAGACUCCUUGGGAAAUAUGGUCAUCUUACUAUUUAUACAAAUGUAUUAAAACAUACAAACACUCUGCUACUAGGAAUGAACUCUUCUCCAAUGCCAAGUAAACUACAGUUGUUCAUGCAUAAUAUGGGGAUUAUAAUACUAAAAUAAUGAUUAAAACAUGAUAGCCUCAAAAAGGCUAACAUACUGCCAGAUAUAAUGAACCUCUAGCCACUGUCAUUCUCAUCUUGUAUAUUUGUAGAUAACACAUAGACACAAAGCUAAUUUCCAAGAACAGAUUACUUAGCUAUUCUUGAUGCCAUUUUAAUAACGAUGUGGUUAUAUUUCUUUCAGGGGCAGUAUCUUAGAGCAAGAGGGGUGAGUUAUUCCAGAUUUUAGAAAUCAUUUUUAAUGGAGAGAAGUCAGAAGUGGAAUAUUAGUUCAGUACAAGUAACUUUUUGUUUGUUUUAUGUCUCUAAACAAAUUCUCAAAAGACUGAGAACUGAAACUUUAUUCUUAAUCAUUAAUAUCACUAUUCCUAUUUUGAAAUUCUCAGCAAAUGCAAGAUAUGAAGUUGUUCAUCACUUCUCCUUUUUCCAGCAAUUAGGAGCCAUAAGUUUGUCCUACAUGGCUGAUAACAAAUACAAUUUUUCAAUGAUUGGCAUAACCUGGAGUAAGGAUAACAAUGACUAUAUAUAUGUUUAAUCAAAAAGGAUAUGAAAAUAUUAUAAGACAGAACAUUUGGAUUAGUGUGAUUUAAGAGCCCACGUUCAAUCUUAAUAUUAGAUUUCAGCACUUUGAAACCAAAGUCAGGCUGACCUAUAAUGGAAUACAGGCGCUUCUAAAAUUAGUAUCCACAUUCUUUGGCAGAGAUUUUCAAAGCAGGAUAACAAUCUCCCGCUCCUAUCAAGGGAAAUGUGCCAAAAGUUGUAAAAUCCAGCUGUGCUCCCCAGAUGUACCCAUAACAAAGCUGCAGGACCCAAGGCUAGACAAUUUUGAGAAUCUCUUUUCUUAGUGGUUGAUAUUUGGUUACAUCGUUGUUCCAUUUUAUGUUGCCAAACUGAGGAGGUUGCAAGAGUUGUUAGAAUUUUGUUCACUUAAGUUGAUUUUAAGUUUAGAGCUGUGUUUUCUUGCUUCCUUUUUUUUAUGCUCUGAACUAGAUAGGUGAAGAUUUAUAGAGAUGCUUGAUCAGAAUACUCUUUGUUCUAUGACAGUUUAUAGAACAUUAAUAUAAUGGAAUAACCCCUGACUAAAUUCUAACACCAGGGAAAUUAUUUUUGUUGAUGUAAUAACCACUGCACUGACGUCCAAAACUCUACUGUACCUUAAUGUGGGCAGUUAAAGAAACAAAUGGGGAUAAAAAAAAUGUUUCUGAACUGUCCAUUGAAGACAUUUGCAUGUGCCUUUCCCUUGUAAUUGUCAUUUUUUCAACUAGUAAUCCAUUGCCCCGCAGUCAUUUCAUGUUAAAUGUUAAAAUCAAUGUUAGAAGCAAAAAGUCUCCUAAGUUCUAGACAUUUGAAGCUGAUUUCUUCAUAUUAAAUGACACAAUGAAAAAAAUUCUAAAAAAAAACACCCUAGAAAAAAUGUACUUUUAGGAUUAACUAUGAAUUGCUGUAUACCCUUAUUCCCUUAGAAUGACUUUUAAGAAGUGAUUGCGUUGUUAGUGCACUGCAAGGAUUUGUGAGCAGAAAUAUGCUUAGUUACCUAUGUGAAAUGUGUACUGGUGAUGAAAAUCACCACUUGCUGUUGCUGAGCACCACCUUGCAGAUCUGUCAACGUUCUGUGUAUUGCCUUGAGUUCAGUCAGUAUUCAGUUUUUCAGAAUCAGUGUUUGCUUCCUGCCUCUAGCGAUGUUCUUCUUUUUGCAGCCUACUUAUUUCAGCAUGGACUUGACAAGGCAUAUGGCGUCUCUUAACAGAAGUGAGGACAACAAGACUCAGAGUCACACUUUUUAUCUUGCUCCACACAGUCUCCUUUUUUAUGUGUCUGUGGGACACACACUCACUGUGGCUCUUUUGGGGGAAUAAGGAAUACAGUGCCAAGGUCGUGCCUAGAUAGCACCUUUUUGGCAAUUCUUUUAAGAACAGAAUGGCUGAAUGCCUACACGCUUCUUGAAGGAGUCACCUCUACUUCUCUGCUAGAGAUCAAGGAGACACCACAGUUUAUUUUACUACAGGGGAGAAAAAAGAGUGGGCUGUGAGGAGGCGUCUGACCCACAUGGCUCCCCUAUCAUAUAUUCAGAAACAGGUGGAUAGUGCAUACCUGGUACUAAAAGUGGGAACAAAGGUUUUAAGCUACCUCUGACUUUUGUACAGGCUGGCCCCUAUGCUGGCACAAGCCUGAACUUACCUGGCAGUCAGUGCAAGAAAACUCUGAGGAGAAGCAACAGUUCUGCAGAAAUGGAAAAAGCAGAAAAUGUCAAAACAAGCAAAGGAACUUGAGAAAGCAGUUCUACCCUCUUCCCUUCUCAGUUUCAAAUGACUGUGAUGCCAAAUGAAGAUCUCUGAAUUUGGUUAAGUUUCACUGAAUGUUCACGUGGCUUUUGGAAUCUGAUCUCAAACCAGAAUCUUAAACCUCCUUCAAGCCAAAAAUAAAAAUAAAAAAAGAAGUUUAAAUAAACCUCCUCCUGCAAGUGAAAUAAACCAACUUCAGUAAAAACCUUGCUACUGAGAUAGCUACAUGCCAAAAGCAAUCUGCAGGGGAUUUUGGGGGGUUGGUUUUUUGUUUUUUUUUUUUACUAGGAGCAGGUGGUUGGAUAUGAGGCCAGCUGAAAAUAAAAAUCUGCAUUUAUAGCAUCAGCAGAAUGAGGAAAGAGCUGGUAUAGUCAAGAAAAUGAUCACUGUUGUUUCAACUUAGAUUGAAGAAUACUUUGUCUUUCAUAUUCAAAUAGGUUAUAGAGAAAUACGAAAGAACAGACUUUCACCUCAUAAUUUGAUUAUUUGUGUUUAUUCAGCAGGUACCAAAAUUGUCAUGAAGCAGUAACGUUGAAGGAAGAGAGUGAAAACAGAUUUUCUACCGUAGUCAGGCAAUAUAAAUCAGGAGACACCAUUCUGUUGCUCCCGGUUACACUGGAAAUUUGAUAAAUGAAUCUAGGUUUUUUGCUUUCUACUAAGCAGGCUGCAGUGGAAAUUAGUUUUAAUUAUUUCUCAUCUUGUGGCAUAUCUUUUAUUUUGAAUUGCUUUAAUAUUUACCACUGCUAACUGAGCUGGAGAACAUGAAAAUAUACAUUUUGGAAAGAAAGGAAAAAAAGGUAAAUGGAAAUCUGUAACCUUAAAGACGUCUGCCUAUUUCUAACCGUGGCAUUUGCAAGUCAGUAACAUUAUCUCCUCAUACAUAAGCCAAAAACAAUGGCUUAAAAGUGUUGUGCAUAAGCAGCUGCGUAUGCAGCUAUGGAGAUGGCUGUCAACUUGUACACACCUUAGCAAUUUUAAUCUUUCAGAAAAAAAUAUUAUUGCUUCUUAAAGAAUUCAUUUACGACACUUUAAUACCUAAAACCAAACAACACUUUGACUUCAUUGCACUGGGCACUGUAUAAGUAGGAAGUAAAUUAUAUCACUGAUCUCUUGAGCUUGCAGCCAUAAAGUAAGAAGUUGACUUUUGAGCAAGUACAUGUGAUAACAAGUCUCUCAUUUUUUUGUGGAGGGAAUGCCAUAGUGCAGGUAUAUUAAAAUACCAUCACACUUACUAAAAUCUGUUUGCAAGCACAUGUAGUUCAUAUGUACAUGUUUGUGUGUGGAAAAAUAAGUAGUUAUAUUUGUUUUGCUCUUUUCUUACUUCAAGUAUUAAAUGUAUAUUGUUUUUGAAAGGUGACAAGGUUAACGAGAAAAAAUUGUGCUGUAAUUUAUUUUAAUAUAUAUGAUCAUGAAUAUGGAUGGGAAAUGAAACAGCCUUGCUGUCAUGAUCCAUGAAGCACAUGAGAAUUCAGAUUUGUCCAUAAGUUCACUUCAUGUUUGAGCAAAAUAUACUAAUAUAAUGGGGGGGGGGGAAGAAAAAAAGCUUUGUUUGUCAAGACAGUUGUCCUGAAUGUCAUUUUAAAAGUUACUUUAGGGCUUAUGUCAUGAUGUGUAUCAUGCUUAUCCACAAUGAAACCCAAAUAAAUAAUUCCAUGGAGUGGUAAAA